rnacentral:piRNA from 1 species
UGUGGAAUUCUAAAGCUUACAGGUGCACGU